GUGCAGCAGUCGAGAAUCUUCCACAAUGGGGGAAACCCUGAUGGAGCGACGCCGCGUGCGGGAUGAAGGCCCUAUGGGUUGUAAACCGCUGUUCAGUGGAAAGAACAUCCUCCGGCUGAAUAGGUCGGAGGCCUGACGUUACCACUGCAGAAAGUCCCGGCAACUCCGUGCCAGCAGCCGCGGUAAUACGGGGGGGACAGCGUUGUCCGGAAUCAUUGGGGCGUAAAGGGCGCGUAGGCGGCGAGGAAAGUCGAAUGUGAAAUCUUGCGGCUCAACUGCAAAACUGCGUUCGAAAACUUCCUCGCUUGAGUAUGAGAGAGGUGUGCGGAAUUCCUGGUGUAGCGGUGGAAUGCGUAGAUAUCAGGAGGAACACCGGUGGC
rnacentral:rRNA from 1 species